AAACCCCAUUAAAAAGUGGGCAAAGUAAGGUGUUUGGGAAACAGGGAUACUUAUUUCCUUGGCCUUCCUUGGCUGCCUACAUGG
rnacentral:snoRNA from 1 species